CCUACGGGUGGCAGCAGUGAGGAAUAUUGGUCAAUGGCCGUAAGGCUGAACCAGCCAAGUCGCGUGAAGGAAGAAGGAUCUAUGGAUUGUAAACUUCUUUUAUAGGGGAAUAAAGGUAUCCACGUGUGGCUAUUUGAAUGUACCUUAUGAAUAAGCAUCGGCUAACUCCGUGCCAGCAGCCGCGGUAAUACGGAGGAUGCGAGCGUUAUCCGGAUUUAUUGGGUUUAAAGGGUGCGUAGGGUGUUUUUUAAGUCAGCGGUGAAAGUUUGUGGCUCAACCAUAAAAUUGCCGUUGAAACUGGAAGACUUGAGUGGGAGUGAGGUAGGCGGAAUGCGUGGUGUAGCGGUGAAAUGCAUAGAUAUCGCGCAGAACUCCGAUUGCGAAGGCAGCAUGCUGGGUCAUAACUGACGCUGAAGCACGAAAGCGUGGGGAUCGAACAGGAUUAGAUACCCUUGUAGUC
rnacentral:rRNA from 1 species